GAUGAACGCUGGCGGCGUGCCUAAUACAUGCAAGUCGAGCGAACGGACGAGAAGCUUGCUUCUCUGAUGUUAGCGGCGGACGGGUGAGUAACACGUGGAUAACCUACCUAUAAGACUGGGAUAACUUCGGGAAACCGUAGCUAAUACCGGAUAAUAUUUUCAACCGCAUGGUUCAAAAGUGAAAGACGGUCUUGCUGUCACUUAUAGAUGGAUCCGCGCUGCAUUAGCUAGUUGGUAAGGUAACGGCUUACCAAGGCAACGAUGCAUAGCCGACCUGAGAGGGUGAACGGCCACACUGGAACUGAGACACGGUCCAGACACCUACGGGAGGCAGCAGUAGGGAAUCUUCCGCAAUGGGCGAAAGCCUGACGGAGCAACGGCGCGUGAGUGAUGAAGGUCUUCGGAUCGUAAAACUCUGUUAUUAGGGAAGAACAUAUGUGUAAGUAACUGUGCACAUCUUGACGGUACCUAAUCAGAAAGCCACGGCUAACUACGUG
rnacentral:rRNA from 1 species